CCUCCAAAGAAAAGGUCUGUGGUUGCUGAAGAGAGUCCCUAAUAUGCCACAUGCUGUGUGUGGUCCCUUGGGCAGAACAAGAAUAGAGGUUGGGGUGCGUGUGUGUGCGCACGGUUGUGUGUGUGUGGUCUACAUGUGGGGUGUGUGUGUGUGUGUGUGUGUGGUUGGUGUAUGGAGUGGACACUUGUGUGUGGUACGUAUGUGUGGUGUGUUUGCAUGUGUGUGUGGUCUGUGUGCAGUGUUUGUGCAUGUGUGGUGUGUAUGUGCUUGGUGUGUGGAGUGCACACGUGUAUGGUGUGUGUGUAUGUGAGUGUGCACACAUGUGUGUGUCUAUGUGUGGUAUGUGCGGUGUGCACAGUUUUGUGGUAUGUGUGUGUACAACUCUGUGCGUGUGUGUGGUCUAUGUGUGGCAUGCACAGUUUUGUGUGGGUAUGUGUGUGCAUAGUUGUGUGUGUGUGUGUGUGUGUGUGGUGUGCACAGUUGUGUGUGUGUAUGGUCUAUGUGGUGUGUAUAUGUGUGGUCUAUGUGUGGUGUGUAUGCAUGUGUGGUGUGUGUGUGUGGUAUGUAUGUGUGGUAUGUGUGUGCUUGGCGUGUGGAGGUCACACGUGUGUGGUGUGUGUGUAUGUGAGUGUACACACACGUGUGUGUCUCUGUGUGUGGUCUCUGUGUGGUGUGCACAGUUUUGUGUGUGUGUGCACAAUUGUGUGUGUGUGGUCUAUGUGUGGUGUGUGUGGUGUGCAGUUUUGUGUGGGUAUGUGUGUGCACAGUUGUGUGUGUGUAUGGUCUAUGUGGUGUGUGGUCUAUGUGUGCUGUGUAUGCAUGUGUGGUGUGUGUGUGCUUGGCGUGUGGAGGUCACACAUGUGUGGUGUGUGUGAGUGCACACACGUGUGUGUCUCUGUGUGGUCUUUGUGUGGUGUGCACACACGUGUGUGUGUGUGCGCGUGCAGGGAGGGGGAAGCUGAGUGGUCCCCAGACUCCCGACCUCGGGACACCCCCCCCUGCGGCCCCAGCUCUGGC
rnacentral:lncRNA from 1 species